rnacentral:lncRNA from 1 species
GGCAAUAGGUAAAAUCUUAGCCUAUUUCUGCUACCCUAAUCUUUGCCUAUAAAAGGUACUCAUUCUUCUAAAAACAAGGUUGAUUUUGGAGGAGGAUUUUAGAGACUUUUAUGGAAAAGAUUUUAGAGCAGGUUUUGAGAUAUUUAGAGACUAAAAAAACGAGAAAAUUCUGCAAAAAAUUGAAAACAAGCUAAAAAUUACUGUUCUAUUGAGUUUUUUUAUGACUUUUGAAGUUUUCAAACACUGAAACAAUUUCUGAGUCAUUUUGGGUUGAAAUGAGUUGAAUUCUAGAUAUUUUAAAGCCGGUUUGAGUUUACUAUUUGGGAAAACACUGUUAUAUUACAGAUUGAGUCGAUGUCUGCUGCUAUUUCCCUGUUGAAUCACUGCUCAUGCUGUUUAUUGUUGUUGCUGUCUCCUCCUGGACCUCCAAUUUGGUUUGUGAUGUUGUUUUGCUGUAUUCAGAUAUGUACUGACUCUUGAGUAGCAUGUGAAUGCAAAGAUGAAAAGGUAUGUAACCAUGCUUGAGGAGAAAUGAUAAUUGCUAUGUGUUUCUUUGUCAAAUGAUUGCUAGAGUUCAUUAUACCUUCUUCCUGUGUUCUUCAGUUUAGUUCAUCAUGUAGAAUCAUUUAUAUCAUUAAUGUUGCAUUUAUUUUAGGGUUUGAAUUUGAGUUUGCUUAAAUGUAGUGAUUCAGGAUUGUUUGGACUUUUAAAUAUGUUAUUGAUUAAGGAAUACGGUUCUUAAGUUUGGAUUAGGCCUAGUUUCCAUACAUCUUAUAUUCAAAUUUAUUUAUGCAUAAACUUGGAACUUAGUUUACUGAUUUCAG